CAGAAAUCAGCCUGCCUCGGUGGUGGUGGGGUUGCUGAACCACACAGCGAGAACAUGGGCCCUGUGUAAAAAGCUCCCAGCCUCCCUGCGUACGGAAGACAGCACUGACCCAGAGCUGAGCAAAGGGCAGGCUACAACCCCUGCCACCUCUGAGCUGGGCCUUUCAGCCACAGCCCCAUGUCAUUCAUGGUUGAAGUCCUGCUGCCGCAGGGCCACACAAGGUUGUUGCAGCGCAAGCCCACUCUGGCCACACUGUGAGUUGGAGAGAGCUUUGAAGCCAUCAAGGAGCUGAACCCCAAAGAGAAGGAUCUGGUCUGAGAAGAAGCCAACCAAGAGGUGCCACAAAGGGAGUGGACAGUGAGAGCCUGGCCCAGCCUGGCAGACAAGGGAUAUGAAAUCGGGGAAGUACAUACACAUCAGUCUUAAAAGGCCAGAGUAGGAAGACCUUGAACUCCUGCUUCAGUUCCCUCCUCUUGAAUAUCAGGAUGGCAUUGAGACCAGCACCUGGGGGCUGCUAUAGAAGCCCUUGAGAUCAUAGCCUUCCUCUCUCGAUGCCUCUGGAGAUGUCCUUCGGUUGGUGCUUUGGCCUCAAGAGUGUGGAAAAUCUGUUCUUCCAGCUUCAUCCAGAUGGAAACUGUGUCCUGAGGUGAAUGGUUCCCCUCAAGCUGUCUUCACAACAAAACAGACCCUGAGCCCUACCAGAGGGAGGAGGAAAAAAAGACCAAAAACACUGUGAAUUAAGAAAUUUGUCAGAAGAAAAGGGGGGACCACUCGCUGAGUUUGCUCUCUCGGCCUCUCACCAAGGACCUCAGGACCUGGAGUCUUCCUCAGCCUUGGGCUAUAGGCUGCUCACUUCCCUCUCUGGGCCUCAUGUUUUCCUCAGAGACGGCAGCUCCCCAUCCCCCUCGGCAGGCCUGCAGCUUCGUGCACUUGCUUUCCCAGCACCAACACAGCACCCCCUACAUAGUGGGUGCUCAGACCCCUUUUGACCCCAUGUGAACAAGCUUGGACUAGCCUACUGGCCUAUGAGAGAUCGUACUGAACAAAGACAAGUUGUCUCAGUUGUGCCAGCCAAGGCCCGAGACAUGGGAGAGGGCCUUUCUGAGAUGAGCAAAGCCAGCCCACAGCCAACCCACCAGCUGACAGCACAUGCAUGAGUGACUCCAUCCAAGACCAGAAGAACCACCCACCUGAUCCACAGAUUUUGGACAAUAAUAAAAGAUUAUUGUUUCAAGCCACUGAACAAAUUACCAUUUGUUACAUAGUAGUAGCUGACUGAUAUACCUGGCCACAUCAGACCAGCUGUCCCUCUUGGCAAUACUUAGGUGGGGUGAGCAACCCCUUGAAUGAGGCAUGAGUUUUGCAUCGCCCCACUGUUCCUACCACUGUUCGCUAUUAUCUCUCUCACCCAGUAGCUGAGUGAUAGAGGACAGUAAUUACCAUUGUUGAGUGGUUGUUUUCCUCAUCAUUGUGUUAAGAACAAACUAAAAUAGUUCUUAUAAUCAAGACUAUCAAUAGAGAUUAAGAGAGCUACAUAUUCUAAGCAGAAUGAGAGAAAGACAAAAUAUCUUCUUACGCUAACUACCCUAACUCCGUAUAUGAACCUCUCAGUGUGAGCCCUUGAUUCAACACCUCCCAGCUUCAGUGUUGUCUGUAAAAUGAAGUUAAGGACACAUGCCUCAGAGGAUUCUUUAAGAAUUGAGUUCAGUUUAGCAGAAUAGCAUAGUGGUUUAGCAAUAUGCUCUGGAACUAGACUGCCAGGGUUUAAAUCCCAGAUUUCCCACUAACUAAAUCUUUGCAUGGUGCCAGAUGGAUGCAAACUGCUUCUGAUAGAUGAAUAAUAAAGCUACUUUAGCCUCUUUCAUCUGUAAAAAUUACUUCUAAUCUGUACCUUGUUCUAGUAAAUUCCUAUCAAAGCCAAUGGUAAAGACUAUUACUUUAGAACUACCCUGAGAACUAAUAGGGACCAAAACAAUGUCAAUUUGCUGAGAAUUAAAUAAUUUUAUAAGAAUUAUGAAAUAUUUAUGUCUGUGAUCAAAGGAUAAAUACCUUCUGAAAAUACCCCAGAGAAAUAAUGUAAAGGCAAAAACACUUAGAUAUUUACAGCAUCCACUUAGGCCAUGGAAUAUUCAGCUACAGAAUAAAUAUCACCACGAAAAAACAUAGAAAUUUGUUCAGAAAAUAAUGUUAAGUAAAAAACAUAUGUAUACAAAAUAGCAUAAAUAUGUCAAUUGCAAUUCUACAAAAAUAUAACUACACAUUGAAAAUGAUUGGAAAAGAAUAUUGUAUAAUACAAGUGUUCUAAGUUCAUAAGAUUUUAAUAAUAAUAAUUUUAAUUACUUGUUAAAAAUUAGCAAAUAUACUGUAACUAUAAAUUUUGGAAAAUGUAGAUCAUUAUACUAUAUUAUUAUAAAAAGUGUAAGUAUUAAUAAGCCGUUACUCAAAAUGGA